AACCAUAGAAACCUGCGGAGUACCUGCGGAAGGAUCAUUACCGAGUUUACAACUCCCAAACCCCUGUGAACAUACCUAUACGUUGCCUCGGCGGAUCAGCCCGCGCCCUGCAAAAAGGGACGGCCCGCCCGAGGACCCUAAACUCUGUUUUUAGUGGAACUUCUGAGUAAAACAAACAAAUAAAUCAAAACUUUCAACAACGGAUCU
rnacentral:misc_RNA from 1 species